UAUUGAUGAUGAGUAUUUAUCAAGUCAGUUCUGCUACUGAUUAUAAUUGAAGAAAACAUAUUCUGAUUA